ACCAAAGGUGACCAAUCAGACAAAAUAAAUGUCUAUUAGCCUAGCAGAGAAUGUUAGAUCAGAUGUUAUAACAUUAAGAAUGUUAAAACAUAAUAUUCAGGAAAUGUCUAUUAGCCUAGCAGAGAAUGUUAGAUCAGAUGUUAUAACAUUAAGAAUGUUAAAACAUAAUAUUCAGGAAGUACAAACCAUCAUCAUACACAACUGUGAUAGCUGAGAUAAUGAACAAAUCUAAGGAAUUCAUCAAGAGCCCUAAAUAUUACAAAACAGGCAUCAAUGAGGACUGCCACACAUUACACAUUUUCCAGAAAAAAACAAAAAAAAC
rnacentral:lncRNA from 1 species